rnacentral:rRNA from 1 species
UACGGGGGAUGCAAGCGUUAUCCGGAUUUAUUGGGUUUAAAGGGUGCGUAGGCUGUGAGGUAAGUCAGCGGUGAAAUGCCCCCGCUCAACGGGGUGAAGUGCCAUUGAUACUGCCUUGCUGGAAUGCGGAUGCCGUGGGAGGAAUGUGUGGCGUAGCGGUGAAAUGCAUAGAUAUCACACAGAACACCGAUUGCGAAGGCAUCUCACGAAUCCGCGAUUGACGCUGAUGCACGAAAGCGUGGGUAUCAAACAGG